AGCGAACGCUGGCGGUAGGCCUAACACAUGCAAGUCGAACGGACCCUUCGGGGUUAGUGGCGGACGGGUGAGUAACACGUGGGAACGUGCCUUUAGGUUCGGAAUAGCUCCUGGAAACGGGUGGUAAUGCCGAAUGUGCCCUUCGGGGGAAAGAUUUAUCGCCUUUAGAGCGGCCCGCGUCUGAUUAGCUAGUUGGUGGUGUAACGGACCACCAAGGCGGCGAUCAGUAGCUGGUCUGAGAGGAUGAUCAGCCACAUUGGGACUGAGACACGGCCCAAACUCCUACGGGAGGCAGCAGUGGGGAAUCUUGCGCAAUGGGCGAAAGCCUGACGCAGCCAUGCCGCGUGAAUGAUGAAGGUCUUAGGAUUGUAAAAUUCUUUCACCGGGGACGAUAAUGACGGUACCCGGAGAAGAAGCCCCGGCUAACUUCGUGCCAGCCGCCGCGGUAACAC
rnacentral:rRNA from 1 species